rnacentral:lncRNA from 1 species
CAGAAGCUGCCUUCAAAUGCAGCUUGGCUGGGGUUCACAGUGGGGGGAAAAAGCAGGAAUAGCCCUGCCAGGUCCCAGAAGCUUUAAGAUUCAUCGCACUGAACUUGAUACACACAGCAAAGCACCUUGAAAAUGAAUUAUCCGCUAGUUCGGUAUUUUCUCCUUGCAAUCACUCCCUCCCAGGGCAUGUAAUUAAUUUCCUGAGUUUCGAAAAAAAAAAAA